rnacentral:rRNA from 1 species
UGGGGAAUAUUGCACAAUGGGCGCAAGCCUGAUGCAGCCAUGCCGCGUGUGUGAAGAAGGCCUUCGGGUUGUAAAGUACUUUCAGCGGGGAGGAAGGUAGUAAAGUUAAUACCUUUGCUCAUUGACGUUACCCGCAGAAGAAGCACCGGCUAACUCCGUGCCAGCAGCCGCGGUAAUACGGAGGGUGCAAGCGUUAAUCGGAAUUACUGGGCGUAAAGCGCACGCAGGCGGUUAGUUAAGUCAGAUGUGAAAUCCUCGGGCUCAACCUGCGAACUGCAGUGGAUACUGGCAAGCUAGAGUCUAGUAGAGGGGGGUAGAAUUCCAGGUGUAGCGGUGAAAUGCGUAGAGAUCUGGAGGAAUACCGGUGGCGAAGGCGGCCCCCUGGACGAAGACUGACGCUCAGGUGCGAAAGCGUGGGGAGCAAACAGG